UCACAAAUCACAGAGGUUCAACAUUCCUUUUGUGCUCGGCCAAAAAAAAGUCACAGGAUAGUCCGAAAAUUAACACGUUUCCCAUUUCUCUCGACAAUGGCAGGCGAGCGGUUUAGGCGGACCCGGGCCCGGGAGUCAAAAAAGACAGGAAACAGCCCAAAUGGAAGACACAUCAACGGACGACUUUCCAAAUCUGUUUUGCAGAUCUCGGCGAACAAAAUCCGAAACCUUGCUCGAGGGGCAAGGCACUUGCUUUCAGAAAUAUGCAAAUGUCACUCCGCUGGAUGGCGAAGCGCACUCGAUCUUCACUUGACAGCAUUCGGUGCCACAUAAUAUGUACUAGUGGAAGGAAAUUGCUUCAUUUACAUCAGAAAGACGCGAGGAUUGGCUUUGCGUAAUUGCUUCAUUUCGGAAUGGGAAGACGACAGCAAUGACGACGAGACGAGGCCUCGUUCUGUGUCUGUUCACCUCAGCCGAUGAACCUGUCAUUCCCUUCGGAAAAGUAUACUUACGAAUCGCACCACAUUGCUAACCGG